rnacentral:misc_RNA from 1 species
UACGUAGGGUGCAAGCGUUAAUCGGAAUUACUGGGCGUAAAGCGCGCUUAGUGGGUUUGUUAAUGUGGAUGUGAAAGCCCCGGGCUCAACCUGGGAACUGCAUCCAAAACUGGCAAGCUAGAGAACGGUAGAGGGUGGUGGAAUUUCCUGUGUAGCGGUGAAAUGCGUAGAUAUAGGAAGGAACACCAGUGGCGAAGGCGACCACCUGGACUGAUACUGACACUGAGGUGCGAAAGCGUGGGGAGCAAACAGG